rnacentral:rRNA from 1 species
UACGGAGGGGACUAGCGUUGUUCGGAAUUACUGGGCGUAAAGCGCGCGUAGGCGGAUUUGUAAGUCGGGGGUGAAAUCCCGGGGCUCAACCUCGGAACUGCCUUCGAUACUGCAAAUCUCGAGUCCGGAAGAGGUGAGUGGAAUUCCUAGUGUAGAGGUGAAAUGCGCAGAUAUCAGGAGGAACACCGAUGGCGAAGGCAGCUCACUGGGCUGAGAUUGACGCUCAGGCACGAAAGCGUGGGGAGCAAACAGG